CCCGAACCAUCUCGCUCUGUUAUUUCUGAUUAGCUGUAAACGAGCAAAUAUUUUCCCAGUGUUCGCCAGGUUAGAUCCCCAUUUAAUUAAACUGGCUCAUUAUGUCGCUCUCUGAUUAGAGGAGGGGAAUCAAUUAUUCAAUUCACAAACAUGGGCCGCAGGAGCUGGAGGUGCACAAAGAGCUGCUCAUUUAAUUCCAAGGACACUAAUUAGCUACAAACCAAAGCUGCAACUUUCUGUCUCUCUCCCCCCACCCUCCUUCCUCAAUUACCGCGCACGUAGGACACUGGGUGUGAGGAGUGGGGAGGAGGGCUGAGGCAGACGAGAAGAGGAGAGCAUGAUGGGAAACGAAAAUGGAGCAGUGAUGACAUCUUGCACUACACAGAUUUAUGUCCAAUCAGAUGCUCUCUUGAAGGAGAAUGUCCUGCCCCCUUAUGCCGCAUACAACUGACUAGUAAGUAGUAAAUCAUGGCAGUUACGUGGCUAUUUAAAAAAAUUUAAAAAACAGAUUAUCUA
rnacentral:lncRNA from 1 species